AUGGUGGACUUCGAUACCUACGUUGAUCGGACCUACAGCAGCUUCGGCGGCGGUAGAGGGUCCCGAGGCAGUGCUGGUGGCCAUGGGUCCCGAAGCCAGAAGGAGCUACCCACAGAGCCCCCCCUACACAGCUUAUGUAGGAAAUCUCCCUUUUAACACAGUUCAGGGUGACAUAGAUGCUAUCUUUAAGGAUCUCAACAUAUGGAGUGUGCGGCUAGUCAGAGACAAAGACACAGACAAAUUUAAAGGGUUCUGCUAUGUAGAAUUUGAUGAGGUGGAUUCCCUGAAGGAGGCUCUGACUUAUGACGGUGCACUCUUGGGUGACCGGUCACUUCGUGUGGACAUUGCAGAAGGCAGAAAACAAGAUAAAGGUGGCUUUGGAUUCAGGAAAGGCGGACCUUAUGACAGAGGAAUGGGUGGCUCUCGAGAAUCUAGAGGUGGAUGGGAUUCCCGGGAUGACUUCAACUCUGGCUACAGGGCUACAGGGAUGACUUCUUAGGGGGUGGGGGUGGGGCAGUCGCCCUGGGGACCGGCGAGCAGGCCCUCCAAAGGGGAGUCGAUUUCGAGAUGGCCCUCCUCUGCGUGGCUCCAACAUGGACUUCAGAGAGCCCACAGAAGAGGAAUGAGCACAGAGACCGUGGGUGCAGCUUAAACCUCUGACGGUGGCAACGCCCCUCAAUCAAGUAGCCAACCCCAACUCAGCCAUCUUCAGGGGAGCUAGGCCCAGAGAGGAAGUGGUUCAGAAAGAGCAAGGAUGA